GAUCCAGACUAUGUCAGACCAAUCCAGUCUGAGAGCACCAAUCAGGACUCUGCCACACAUCACAUGGUCAACCUGAAUGAAACUCAAGAUCACAUCUACAAUUCUCUUCUCCACGGUGAUACUUGUCUCUAUGAAUCAAUCAAAGGCUCCGAAGACCCAAAAUAGAAAAUCAGCUCCUGCAGCAACUGAUGAAGCUGUUUAUUCUGAAGUUAAACCAGGAACAGCUCAUGGUGUGUAAAGACAGCUGUGUGGACAAGGCCAAAUAAAUAUGGUUAACAGCAUUUUAUAACCAUUGUGUGCAUCUCUGCUAUCCAAAUAUCAGCCAUGCUCAAUGCUUCGUACAGUUAAUAUAAUAAGAUUAUAUGAAAUAAAUACAUCAUGUGGA